UGUUAUAUUAUCAUUACUUUUAUUAAAUAAACAUUUAUAGCUCUACGAUAUAUUUAUAUCUCUACAUUACUUUAACUGUAGUUCGUUUAGUUGUCCUAGAUGGCCUGUAGUGUGAAGAAAUUGUAAAGACUGUGGUAAGUAAAAACGUGCUCUACAAAGAAUUAACCUCGUAAAAUUUUAUUUGGUUCGUUAUCGCGCGGACAAGAAUCGGAUCUGAGUUAAUUCUCACGGCUACGACGCUCAGAUAAUUUUGAUAGUAUCUUCUGUUUCACGGUUACGGUAAGACUGUCUCGCCGCUUGCCUAGUGAUAAGGAAGAAGUGUCCCGCGCUUUCCUAUUAUCGCGCUCCGAAAAAGGUGACACUGUCUAUAUCCCGGAGUCGCACAUUUCGGCGGAGAGAUUGAACGGAGGUAGGUGUCGCUGUGCUACAUUGAACGCGGUGUGCUAGAUGUUCAGCGGACGUAGCUGUCGCUACACUAUCGCCUUCCGAGUCGCUCGAUCUGGUAAGGAGAUGGUAUUUGUAUCCACGAAUAGAUUCAUGGUUCAUGUUCUUCGCUCUGUUCCAUAUAUGCUGGCUUCAAUCGUUCCGUCGAAAUUAUGAUUUCCUUCCCUUUGUAGUCUAUUAAAAAUACGUUGUCCGAAAUAUGCUAUAUUACGCGGUAUGGAUCCUCAUAUGGCUGUUCCAGAGGUUGCUUUAUAUGAUCUACUCGCACAAAUACAUGCGGAGUUUCGAAAAAUUAUUUAAUAAAUUUCGAAAAAUUAAAAUUUAUUAAAUAAUUUAUUAAAAAUGAAAUAUGACCAUCGUGAAUGAUGAUUUGUCGGUUUCGGUCGUAUUGUCUGAAUCUGUCUACCGUAAAAUCUUUGUGCGACUCUGUGUAGACGAAAAAUUUUCCAAGUAGUCUGAGGGGUGUACCGAAUACCAUUUCAGCCGCGAUUGCUUGUAUGUCUUCUUUAUAGCUAUUCCUCAAACCAUGACUGUUGGGAAUACUUCUAACCAGUUUUUAUUUUCGUGGCAUCUGAUUGCAGCUUUCAAGGAUCUAUGCCACCUUCUUAUCAUACCGUUGGAUGCUAGAUGAUACACUGUAGUAUGGAUAUGCCUGCAUCCAAUCAGUUUGAUUAAGGCAUUGCGUUCUGCGGUCCGUAGUUAUUGUUGACGGAGCUCUAUUGCCAGGCAAUAUCUGUAAUCAUUGGAAACGCUCUGGAACAACGAAAUGUUUCGGUAACUUGUCUAUCUAUUUCAUUUCUUUGACAGCUUAUACAAUUUCUCGCUCAGUGCAAAAUGUCUUUAUUCAUCCCCGGCUGUAUAAGUCUUUUAGCUAACAUCUGUUUAGUUAGCGAGGUUGUGUACGCUGUCGAAGAUUUUCUCUGAUUGUUUCUGUCGCAAUAAAUCAGUAUCUUCUGAAUUAUUAAUAUUCAGCUUCCUUAGCUGUAGAACUGCGUUUUGUAAGACCUGCGGUAAUUCCGAGUCUUUUAUUUGCUGUUUGGCAUGUUCUGUGGUGCUCACCACCACUGGCUACUGAUAACGUCCAGCUGUGAUAGAGUGUCUGCCACUUCGUUAUUAGAUUCCGGAAUGUGGGUUAUAUUAGCUGAAAACUGUCCUAUAUAGUCAAGUUAGCGUAGCUGUUUAGGUGAGGCUUUUUUUGAUUUCUGUAGGAAGGUGAACGUCAAUGGUUUGUGGUCAGUUUAUUAUUGUAAAGUCUCGUCCUUCGAGUAAGUGUUUCAAUUGUUUUAUCGCUUUGUAUAGGGCUGUUAUUAUUUGCGAUCGUACAUAUUAUAUUUCACUUCCGACGGCGAGUAUUUCUUUGAAAAGAAAGCUAUUGGUUCUCACAUUCUGUUCAUCUUCUGCUGAAGCGCAGCUCUACAAGCUGCGUUAAAAGCGUCUGUGAUUAGAAGUAAAGGACUAUUAUUUUUUGGAUGCACCAGAAGUACUGCGUCAGCCAACGAGUCCUCAGACGCUUGGAACGCUUUUUCGACUUCCUCUAUCCAUGUAGUUUAUCUUUUUUUUUUUUUUUUUUGCGCCCUGAAGAAAUGCAUUUAAAAAAGCCUGUGCAGCAGCGGUAUUUUCGAUGAAUCUGCGAUAAAAAUUGACCAUUUCAAGGAAACGUCUUAGUUCGGUGAUGAUCGUCGGCUUUGGGUAGUUGACUACUUUUCCUGGUACAAGCUUGGCUCCUUUCUUGUCAUGUACCCCAGGAACGGCACUGUUGAUGAUCCGAAUACGCAUUUCGCAGUUGAUCGAAAUGUCGUACUGUUGCCUAUUAAACACUUGUCGUGGUGGUUAGAAUGCUCGGACUCGUUGGCGGAGGUUAUCGUACAUCGUCGAUAUCAAAACGCAAAGUUAAGACUCCGACGAUCGACAUCUAUAAACCGUUGGAAAGUCUGAGCCGUAUUCUUUAGACCAAAUGACAUAACGCUGAAUUCGAAAAGACCGAAAGGCGUAAUUAUUGCUGUUUUUUCACGGUCUUCCGGAGCCAUUUUGGUAUCUGGUAGUAGGCUUUUUCGAGGUCAAAUGUCGAGAAAACUGUCUUUCCGUUCAACGCGUGUGUGAAGUUGUGCAAGUGUGGGAUAGGAUAUUUGUCUGGUGUCGUUUGUGCGUUCAGUCGACGGUAGUCACUAUAUAACCUUCAAACUCCACAUUUCUUUGAAACUAUGUACAGCGGUCUGGCUCAUUCGCUAGAGGACAGUUGGCAAAUUCCUUGUUGAAUCAGGAGUUGGAAUUCCUCACGACUUUGUACUUUUCCGGUGCCAAUUUGCAAGCUCGCACAUGGUCUGCUUUUGGUGAUUAUGUGGUAGCGUAUUUUGUGCUUCGGUCCGUCAUGUCUUUGUGUCGGUCUAGUAACGUCGAUGUAUCGUUUUAGCAAAGAAUCGUAUUUGUCGCCGUUUCCAUUACCUUCUGUAGUGACGAUUAAGUGGUCGUGCUUAUUUAUCCGAGUCUCUGUAUCUUUGUGUAGUCAUCUAUUAUGCGUUUGUUCGUCAGGUCCACCAGAAGACUAUAAUGCUUCAGGAAGUCGGCACCAAUAAUCGGUUGUUGCACCCUCGCGUCUAUGAAUUUUGCUGUUUAUGGACGCUGUAAUUCGAGGUCCAAAGUAAGCUCAAGCAUUUUAACAGUUUUUAUUGCACUAUUAGAUAAAUAUAUACACAGAGGGAAAUGGUCCAAACACUUAUUUCUUGCGAGAAUGUUGCAAGAGCGAAAGUAGGAGACACGCACAGGUUGCACACGCAGAAAGACACUUACGUUAAGUGGAUCUUCGGUUUUAGAAAAUGUCACUGUGUUGCUGGUGCGUUGGAGUCGACUCUUAUGUACCACGAUUUUCUUUGUGUCCUUUCCGGUCAAGGGAUCGGAAAGUACAUUGUUUUUCUGCAGUCUGUACGGUCAGGCCCAUGAGACAUUUUCGAUAAUUGUCAAAGUGUGACGGUGUCGAAGAGGGAGAGAAAAAACAACAAAUCAACUCCUGUUCAUAGCGCGGAAUUGCGCCGCAGAGAAUGUUUCUUUAACUUGUACUAGGUUUUUCGAAAAAUAAAGAUAUUUUAAACUAUUAUUUUACUCGGGUAUUACUCUAACUUAUUCUUAUACGUAGAGAAGAAUAUUAUAUUCUUAUUCUAAUCCGUAAGAAAGAAAAGAGUGAGAGACGUGAAUUAAAUGGAAGACAAAACUGAACUGUUAUUAUUACGUUUGGCAUACAACUUAUAUGUUUCGAUAGAGUGUGGUGGAAGGGGAUUUUUUUAGAAUAAUAUGUCGAGUGUAGAGGUUCUCUUUGUCCCCGGAAUUCUGUCACCUUACCCGCCAACAACGCCAACAGAUUUAUUAAAUCUGUGCUCUCGCUGGCUACUACUUAGUAUGUCGUGUAGCGAGCUAGGCACCUGUUCUAGAAAGAUUGUUCUUAGAAUGGAGUUGGGCACGUUAUUACCGGCCAGGCUCUUUAGGCAUUUAGAAAGGCAUUUAGGACGGUAGGAAGUUCGACGGGUUCUUAUCGCGCAUUCUAUAUGUCCUAAAGAGGUGACGGAUUUUCGCCUCCCCGGCCUAGCCGAGUAGCUCCUGCAACUUUCUUGACUGUUGGUACUUCUCUGCAGCUGGUGGCGAUUCCACGAUGUCCGCAUGAUGGACAGAAUGCAAUAUAACAUAGUAAUAUUUUGUUGUGUCGCUAAAUACUUUGGCAACCUGUAAAGAAAUAUGUCGGUAAAAACAACUGCGAAUUAGUAAUGGCUUAUUCUAAUAUAUCGACUUCAUUAUAUGUAAGCAUGAAUGUGUGUGAAAGCCUAUAGUAUGUAAGAUCUAUCUUUAGUGUAAAUACGUGUGUCUGACCAAUAAAACAUUAAAAUCAAAACUAAAGUGUCUUAUCAGGUUAUUGGCCCAUAUCGUCUCCUGAUGAAAAGUAAAAAACGUUAAAACAAAAAAAUCAGCUAAAAAUAGUAAAUCGAACAUGAUCGAAAGACAAAGAAUAAUGGCUACUUAUAACGGAAAUCACAGCCACGAGGACAAAUUGAAAAAUUAAAAGACGAGUCAAAUUUCUAAUUUGGAAGUUCCAAAUAACAAUUUUAUUUAAAUCAAUUAAUGCACAAAAUAUAAUAACCGGUAGAAGAAAUCCCUGCAGAAGUUUGGAAUGAUAAAAAAAAGGUCGGAUUGGGAACACAAAGACACAAAUUUUCAAAAAAUUAUAAUCACCUCAACUGAAUGAAAACCGCAGAUGCAUAUAUUAAAAUACAACAUAAAAAAAAAUGAUGGACAAAUUAACAGAAAUAUACGGAGAAGACACUAAACAGAAGAAAUGCUCUCCACUCUGCAGAACUUUACAACUGCAUAUUUGAAGAAGGAAGCGACAUAGCGUCACAUUAUAAGCACUUCGUGUGUGCGUGGGAAUCUAAGCCGAGAAACAAGAAAAAACCUUAACAAAUUCAAUAACUAGACUUGUUCGGGAGAGUUUCCGUCCUACAAUGCCUAUGGUCUGGGUGCAGGGUUGUUGGGGAAUGUUUAUGUAUUUUAAAUGACCUGAGCCUCUAACAAGCCUGUGUCGCUAUAAACCCUUGGUCUUCUGGCUGAGCUUUGUUCUACAGCAGACAAGGCCCUCGAACAUGUGUGAAACACUGGAGGCAAGGUCAUCCACCCUUUGUGCCCCUAACUUGGGCCCGCGAUUUCGCGAAGCCAAUGGAAAGGGAACCGAGAGAGCUUUCCUUCGGCUUGCGAAUUAGAAUUGGACUUCCAAUUUACAUAGAUCAUCUCUCGCAAUAUUAGAAUUACCACCGAGGG